CUGAUCCAUGCAUCAUUUGGAUGCAAUCAAUGUCGCUUUCAACUUCAACCCACCAACAUACCGUUUCUCCAGUUUCAAAUGAGAACCUUGUUCUAAGCCUCUGAAUCCUUCUGAUGACUUCACCAGGUUGGUAAUCUCCCUCUAACCAAGACAUCAAGGACCUUUUUAGUUGGUCCAACGAACGGAUGUUCCAAAAUUUCAUCUCCAUUGGGGGUUUGACAGGCGAGAA
rnacentral:lncRNA from 1 species